GCUACCGUGUCCUGGUGGUAAGAGCGUCCACCUCGGAUGUGUAGGAUCGUGGGUUCGAUCCCCGUUCGAGCAAUA